rnacentral:tRNA from 1 species
GGGUGGAUGGCUGAGAGGUUGAAGGCAUCAGUCUUGAAAACUGAAGUUUUGUGAAAGGGACCGGGGGUUCGAAUCCCUCUCCACCCG